rnacentral:rRNA from 1 species
CGUCUUGGUUAUUGAUGUUAGAUGCUUGCAUUUAACUGAUUUAACAUUGAGACGAGUGGCGAACUGGUGAGUAACACGUGGGUAACCUGCCCUUGAAGUAGGGGAUAACACUUGGAAACAGGUGCUAAUACCGUAUAACAACCAAAACCACCUGGUUUUGGUUUAAAAGAUGGCUUCGGCUAUCACUUUAGGAUGGACCCGCGGCGUAUUAGCUUGUUGGUAAGGUAACGGCCUACCAAGGCAAUGAUACGUAGCCGACCUGAGAGGGUAAUCGGCCACAUUGGGACUGAGACACGGCCCAAACUCCUACGGGAGGCAGCAGUAGGGAAUCUUCCACAAUGGACGAAAGUCUGAUGGAGCAACGCCGCGUGAGUGAUGAAGGGUUUCGGCUCGUAAAACUCUGUUGUUGGAGAAGAACAGGUGUGAGAGUAACUGUUCACAUCUUGACGGUAUCCAACCAGAAAGCCACGGCUAACUACGUGCCAGCAGCCGCGGUAAUACGUAGGUGGCAAGCGUUGUCCGGAUUUAUUGGGCGUAAAGCGAGCGCAGGCGGUUUCUUAGGUCUGAUGUGAAAGCCUUCGGCUUAACCGGAGAAGUGCAUCGGAAACCAGGAGACUUGAGUGCAGAAGAGGACAGUGGAACUCCAUGUGUAGCGGUGAAAUGCGUAGAUAUAUGGAAGAACACCAGUGGCGAAGGCGGCUGUCUGGUCUGUAACUGACGCUGAGGCUCGAAAGCAUGGGUAGCGAACAGGAUUAGAUACCCUGGUAGUCCAUGCCGUANACGAUGAGUGCUAAGUGUUGGAGGGUUUCCACCCUUCAGUGCUGCAGCUAACG